GGGUUCUCGUACGAUCACCGAAGUUAAGCAACGUCGAGUGGUGGUCAGUACCUAGAUGGGUGACCGCUUGGGAAUACCAGGUACUGCCU